rnacentral:rRNA from 1 species
UACGUAGGGCGCAAGCGUUGUCCGGAAUUAUUGGGCGUAAAGGGCUCGUAGGCGGUUUGUCGCGUCGGGAGUGAAAACCAGGUGCUUAACUCAUGGCUUGCUUUCGAUACGGGCAGACUAGAGGUAUGCAGGGGAGAACGGAAUUCCUGGUGUAGCGGUGAAAUGCGCAGAUAUCAGGAGGAACACCGGUGGCGAAGGCGGUUCUCUGGGCAUGAUCUGACGCUGAGGAGCGAAAGUGUGGGGAGCGAACAGG